rnacentral:rRNA from 1 species
GUGCACCAGUCGAGAAUUUUUCUCAAUGGGGGAAACCCUGAAGGAGCGACGCCGCGUGGAGGAUGAAGGCUUUCGGGUUGUAAACUCCUGUCAUUUGAGAACAAGUGUAGCCAAGUAACUACUGGCUACUUGAUAGUAUCAGAAGAGGAAGGGACGGCUAACUCUGUGCCAGCAGCCGCGGUAAUACAGAGGUCCCAAGCGUUGUUCGGAUUCAUUGGGCGUAAAGGGUGCGUAGGUGGCGCCGUAAGUGGGGUGUGAAAUUUCGGAGCUUAACUCCGAAACUGCAUUCCAUACUGCGGUGCUUGAGGACUGGAGAGGAGACUGGAAUUCAUGGUGUAGCAGUGAAAUGCGUAGAGAUCAUGAGGAAGACCAGUGGCGAAGGCGGGUCUCUGGACAGUUCCUGACACUGAGGCACGAAGGCUAGGGGAGCGAACGGGAUUAGAUACCCCUGUAGU